AUAUAUAGAGAGAGAGAGAGAGAGAGAGAGAGAGAGAGAGAGAAAGAGAGAAUUGAGCUCCUAUGCUUUUAAAAGUACAAGUCAUUGGUGCUUGUAAGUUUUCGGCCCUUGAAUUAAGAGAUGUGCGGUUAGGAUGAUGUGGGCCCCCUAGUGUUGAGUGGUUAGUUGGUUGAAUAGUAUAAUCUAACGGAUGAAAAUGAUUAAAAGUGUAGAUCUAACGGUAAAAAAUUCACAAGCACUUGUCAAUAGCACCAAGUUAUUGGUGUUAUUAGUUUUUUAACCCUUGGAUUGAGAAAUGUGCGGUUAUGAUGAUGUGGGCCCCCUAAGGUUGAGUGGGUGGUUGAUCGAAUAGUAUAAUCUACCGGAUAAAAAUAAUUAAAAAGGUUAAAUCUAACGGUGGAAAACUCAAUAGCAUCAAACUCUUGGUGCUAUCGAUAGUACCCCAGCCGGACUAUAUAUAUAUAGGCUGGGGCUACUAUACUCUUAUGAGUAUAGACCCUCUUGUACUCAUAAAUUUUUAACCGUUGAUUGAUGGGAUGUGUGGUUAGGAUGAUACUGGUCCCCACUUAGAAUGAUAGUGGUCCUCUAGGGUUGAG
rnacentral:lncRNA from 1 species